AGUGAACGCUGGCGGUAGGCCUAACACAUGCAAGUCGAACGGCAGCACAGGAGAGCUUGCUCUCUGGGUGGCGAGUGGCGGACGGGUGAGGAAUACAUCGGAAUCUACUCUGUCGUGGGGGAUAACGUAGGGAAACUCACGCUACUAUCGCAUACGACCUACGGGUGAAAGCAGGGGAUCUUCGGACCUUGCGCGAUUGAAUGAGCCGAUGUCGGAUUAGCUAGUUGGCGGGGUAAAGGCCCACCAAGGCGACGAUCCGUAGCUGGUCUGAAAGGAUGAUCAGCCACACUGGAACUGAGACACGGUCCAGACUCCUACGGGAGGCAGCAGUGGGGAAUAUUGGACAAUGGGCGCAAGCCUGAUCCAGCCAUACCGCGUGGGUGAAGAAGGCCUUCGGGUUGUAAAGCCCUUUUGUUGGGAAAGAAAUCCAGCUGGCUAAUACCUGGUUGGGAUGACGGUACCCAAAGAAUAAGCACCGGCUAACUUCGUGCCAGCCGCCGCCGUAG
rnacentral:rRNA from 1 species